AAAAAGUAUUUUAUUAAUGAUUGAAAAUUUGAACAAGAUAUAUAUAUAGGGAGAGUGUGAACUAAUAGUAGAAAUUGAAAAAUAUGUAAACAUUACAUCUUUUUUGCACUAUUAAGGCUGGUUUAUAAUCCGAUUCCAGCGUGGAGUUACAAGAUCGCUAGCCCGUGUUGGAGUUUGAAGCUAGCGUCAUGGUUUUUACUCAGACUCCAGUUGGCGCCAACAUCAGCACUGGCUGCUGUCGAGAGUUGAAAGUUUUUCUACUUUGGAGUUGGGAGUUGAGUAGCGCUAUACUACAAUCUUUGAGAAGAAUAAACAUGGCGUCAAAUUAUAUAGUCGAGUGCGACGUGGAGAAAUUUCUCGAAGCCAUUAAAGUCCAUCCAAUCAUUUUCGACCUCG
rnacentral:lncRNA from 1 species